rnacentral:misc_RNA from 1 species
AAGAGACGUUGCCCUUCGGGGUAUACCUCCCACCCUUUGUUUAUUAUACCUUUGUUGCUUUGGCGGGUCCGUCCUCGGACCACCGGCUUCUGCUGGUCAGUGCCCGCCAGAGGACCUAAAACUCUGUUUGUUAAUAUUGUCUGAGUACUAUAUAAUAGUUA